rnacentral:rRNA from 1 species
GAUGAACGCUGGCGGCGUGCCUAAUACAUGCAAGUCGAGCGAACAGAUGAGGAGCUUGCUCCUCUGACGUUAGCGGCGGACGGGUGAGUAACACGUGGAUAACCUACCUAUAAGACUGGGAUAACUUCGGGAAACCGGAGCUAAUACCGGAUAAUAUAUUGAACCGCAUGGUUCAAUAGUGAAAGACGGUUUUGCUGUCACUUAUAGAUGGAUCCGCGCCGCAUUAGCUAGUUGGUAAGGUAACGGCUUACCAAGGCGACGAUGCGUAGCCGACCUGAGAGGGUGAUCGGCCACACUGGAUCUGAGACACGGUCCAGACUCCUACGGGAGGCAGCAGUAGGGAAUCUUCCGCAAUGGGCGAAAGCCUGACGGAGCAACGCCGCGUGAGUGAUGAAGGUCUUCGGAUCGUAAAACUCUGUUAUUAGGGAAGAACAAAUGUGUAAGUAACCAUGCACGUCUUGACGGUACCUAAUCAGAAAGCCACGGCUAACUACGUG